UGGUGAUGAUGGCGGAGGGGUUCCACGCGUACCCAUCCCGAACACGACCGUUAAGCCCUCCAGCGCCGAUGGUACUUGGACCGAAGGGUCCUGGGAGAGUAGGACGUCGCCA
rnacentral:rRNA from 2 species